rnacentral:sRNA from 15 species
UCGGGAAUGUGUUAGGAUGGGUAGGCGCGGGUUCGGCGAGUCGCGAUGCGGUAAGGAAGCAACUCGACACGGGACGG